rnacentral:rRNA from 1 species
GAUGAACGCUGGCGGCGUGCCUAAUACAUGCAAGUCGAGCGAACGGACGAGAAGCUUGCUUCUCUGAUGUUAGCGGCGGACGGGUGAGUAACACGUGGAUAACCUACCUAUAAGACUGGGAUAACUUCGGGAAACCGGAGCUAAUACCGGAUAAUAUUUUGAACCGCAUGGUUCAAAAGUGGAAGACGGUCUUGCUGUCACUUAUAGAUGGAUCCGCGCUGCAUUAGCUAGUUGGUAAGGUAACGGCUUAUCAAGGCAACGAUGCAUAGCCGAACUGAGAGAGUGAUCGCCCACACUGGAACUGAGACACGGUCCAGACGCCUACGGGAGGCAGCAGUAGGGAAUCUUCCGCAAUGGGCGAAAGCCUGACGGAGCAACGCCGCGUGAGUGAUGAAGGUCUUCGGAUCGUAAAACUCUGUUAUUAGGGAAGAACAUAUGUGUAAGUAACUGUGCACAUCUUGACGGUACCUAAUCAGAAAGCCACGGCUAACUACGUG